rnacentral:rRNA from 1 species
UACGUAGGGGGCAAGCGUUGUCCGGAAUCAUUGGGCGUAAAGAGCGUGUAGGCGGCUCGGUAAGUCCGCUGUGAAAGUCCAGGGCUCAACCCUGGAAUGCCGGUGGAAACUGUCGGGCUAGAGUCCGGAAGAGGCGAGUGGAAUUCCUGGUGUAGCGGUGAAAUGCGCAGAUAUCAGGAGGAACACCAAUGGCGAAGGCAGCUCGCUGGGACGGUACUGACGCUGAGACGCGAAAGCAUGGGGAGCAAACAGG